rnacentral:rRNA from 1 species
AGUGAACGCUGGCGGUAGGCCUGACACAUGCAAGUCGAACGGCGGCACAGUAAGAGCUUGCUCUUACGGGUGGCGAGUGGCGUACGGGUGAGGAAUACAUCGGAAUCUACUUUUUCGUGGGGGAUAACGUAGGGAAACUUACGCUAAUACCGCAUACGACCUACGGGUGAAAGCAGGGGAUCUUCGGACCUUGCGCGAUUGAAUGAGCCGAUGUCGGAUUAGCUAGUUGGCGGGUUAAAGGCCCACCAAGGCGACGAUCCGUAGCUGGUCUGAGAGGAUGACCAGCCACACUGGACCUGAGCCACGGCCCAGACUACUACGGGAGGCACCAGUGGGGACUCUUGGCAAAUGGGCGCCAGCCUGAUCCAGCCAUACCGCGUGGGUGAAGAAGGCCUUCGGCUUGUAAAGCACUUUUGUCGAGAAAGAACAGCAGCAAGUUAAUACCCCGAUGUUAUGACGGUCCACACAGAAUAAGCAACGGCUAACUUCGUG